ACAGUUUUUUUUAAACAUUAAUAUCUCUCAUCGACAUUAGAUUUCUCCUGAAUCGACCUUGGUAGCAGUACCGAGGUUUUU
rnacentral:ncRNA from 1 species